rnacentral:rRNA from 1 species
AUACUAGAGCCGAACCCUUAUGCGCAGGCUUUCAAGAGCCUUGGUUAUGUUCCGAAUCUAGAUGAGUACAAGAUCUCACUCAACACAGAUAUCAAGUUGGAUCAGCGUAGGUACAAUGCCCCAACGACUUCUCAGGUGGCAGCAAUAUGGGUUGAGGGGAGGGACCAACAAAAUUGUUUUGACAGGAGUGUUGUCGGUCUUGUUGACACCACUGUUGCCGGCAAGUCACGCGGUGAUCGAAUUGGCAAGAGAAUCGUGCUUCCACGUACGUUUCCUGGUGGUGAUCGUGACAUGCAGCGGAGGUUGCUGGAUGCGAUGGCAAUAGUCCAACGGUCGGGUAAACCGGAUUAUUUUAUCACAAUGACUUGCAAUCCAUAUUGGGAGGAGAUAACCCAGAAUCUGAUGCCUGGACAACUGCCACAAGACUGUCCAGACCUUGUGGCAAGAGUAUACAAGGCUAAACAGUGA